GAGAUGUGAUGAGUAAUUAAUUUGGUCCGUGUUUCUGAUUAGCUGUGACUGAUACCUUUUUAACCAAUCUCUGAUCUC
rnacentral:snoRNA from 1 species